rnacentral:rRNA from 1 species
AUGGCCCAAGCGCCUCAAAUAGUUCCUGCAGGGCGAGAAAUUGUACACAUUUGUCGGUUUCACAUUGGAGGUGACAGGAAGAUGCUGGACAAGUCUGGUUUGGAGAUCAACCCCAACAACUUCAUCGACAUGCAGCGCAAGUGGAAAGAUCCAAACACCAGCAAAUACUACGACUCCUUGGCCGUUCUUGCAGGCGGCGUCAUCCACCCAUUCUACAAAGACAUGAAGAAGAAGAUGGACAAGGCAGACCACAAACUGUGGGGGACCAGCCCACUGCCAGACAACCUCAUCACAUACGCAGGAAUAGAUGCGUACGCCACGUACAAGUCAUGGAAGACAAUCGACAACAUCGUGACAGGUUGGGAUAUUUCAAAAGAGCAGGAGGCUGACCCCUACUACCACUGCAACUUCGCGGGAUGA